GGCCAGUUGGCUCAGUUGGUAAGAGUGUGGUGUUGAUAACACCAAGGCCAAGGGUUCAGACCCCUUUACUGGCCA